rnacentral:misc_RNA from 1 species
GUCCCAAUUCCAUCCGCCAUGGCAACGGCGCCAGCCAUUUUUGUGCCUUCCACUUCUCUCGCUUCCUCCAAUGCACGCAAGAUUAAUCUAAGUUCAUGGAACGAGAAACUGGUUAUACCCCAAAAUUUUCCAUUCUGGACUCCCAAGUACCAGUCUAGGAAACCACCGUCAUGCUCCGGUACCAAUGUCACGGUGGUCCAAGGUGAUCGGAAUACAACCGAACUACCAAUGAGUAUUGACGCUCUUGACAGUUUCAUUCGCCUUAAUUUGGGAAACUGGACCGGCUCUUUCCAUCAAUUUGAUGGUCAUGGAAAUUUGAUGCAUAGAAUUACAACGAAACUUGCUGUGGGCUCUUAUGGUGAAGGUGAACUGAUGAGUUUAUUACAAACGUUAUACAUCAAACAACCUCCAUCUACCACUUCAUGUUCUGGCGAUGAUUGUGAGUCAGAGUGGUUUGAGUACAAAAUCAAAGAGACCAACAUGUUUACCGUCGACAAAUAUCAACAGAUUGGCUUCUUCCCCAAGGAAAAGGCAUACGCACUAAGAUAUCAGACUGCUGGCAUGUUGGAGACUGUGUUAAGACAGGGAGUGCUAGGUGAAGAUGAUAUCGGAGAAGAAUCACCAAGAAAUCUGAAGCUUCCCUCUAAACGUCCUUCUAUUGUAUGUGAAAAUUGUCUUUAUUCACUGGAGAAAGAUAGGCGAGUGAGAGCAUUUCAUAUAAUGGACCCAAAAGGAGUACUGGAAAUGCUUCUUGUUUUCCUUGAAGAAAGAGGGAACGGAGAGGCCAUUCCUCCCUCCUUUGACGAUUUCAAGGAGGAUACUGAAAGAAUUCUGCCUCAUCUUGGAACUUGGAAAGGUCAUUCGCGAACAACACGUACUGGUGUUUAUGGAGCAACAAUUACUGAAGCAAGUACAACUGCUGUUCUUGAAAUCAACAAGGACGGCCAGCUAAUUCAGGAUAUCACGUCUACUUCUGGUGCGACUAAUAUUACAACAAAUGUACAUUGGACCGGUACCAUAUCCAAUAACCUAGUGACAUUCGACGGUGGUUUCCAGCUUACUCUGUUGCCUGGGGGCAUUUACAUGGGAUACCCAUCUGAUGUGGCCAAGAAUGUGCAAGAAUCCACAGCAUUUCACGUUGAGUUUUGUUGGCUAGAAUCGCCUGGCAAGAGACAAAGACUUAUCCGUACUUACGAUGUAGAGGGCUUUGCUGUUUCAUCUACUUAUUUCAUCGAGUCCAAGGUCUGAGUUAUUUCCCCUGAUUCAAAAAGAUGUGCUUCAGACAUCAUAUUUGCUCCCGCAUGAACCAUUUUUCCUGGGUACAAUCACCAACACUGUAGUAUCAAUUGUAUCUAUCUAUCUAUAUAUCUGUUUU